rnacentral:rRNA from 1 species
GGGCUCACACAAGCGGUGGAGCAUGUGGCUUAAUUCGAAGCAACGCGAAGAACCUUACCCAGGUUUGACAUGCAUGGAUGUCUUGGUGGGAUAACCAUCAAGAUUGCCCGCAAGGGUGAAACAUGCACAGGUGUUGCAUGGCUGUCGUCAGCUCGUGCUGUGAAGUGUCGGGUUAAGUCCCUUAACGAGCGAAACCCUUGUCGCUAGUUGCCAGCGGGUCAUGCCGGGGACUCUAGCGAGACUGCCGGCGUUAAGCCGGAGGAAGGCGGGGAUGACGUCAAGUCAUCAUGGCCUUUAUGCCUGGGGAUGCACACGUGCUACAAUGGCGCGUACAAAGCGACGCAAGACCGCGAGGUGGAGCAAAUCGCAAAAAACGCGCCCCAGUUCGGAUUGGAGUCUGCAAUUCGACUCCAUGAAGUUGGAAUCGCUAGUAAUCGCAGAUCAGCUACGCUGCGGUGAAUGUGUUCCUGAGCCUU